ACUUGAAUAUAACCAAAGAUUCAAAGUGUUUAAAUGCGCUAUAUUCGAAGUAUUUAACCACAAGGAUUAUGUGAUUCAUAUAUCCACAUCCAACUGGACCUGUGCCAACCAUAAAGAAACCCAAUAUUAGACUAAGUAAAUUUUAUCCAAUAUCUAAAUUGUUUUCUUUCACCCUUUUCUUACAAUGAUUGCAACUUAUAGUACCCCUAUAGAGUACUAUAAUGU
rnacentral:lncRNA from 1 species